UACAGAGGUCUCAAGCGUUGUUCGGAUUCAUUGGGCGUAAAGGGUGCGUAGGCGGCGCGGUAAGUCGGGUGUGAAAUCCCUCGGCUUAACCGGGGAACUGCGUCCGAUACUGGAUGGCUAGAGUUCGGGAGAGGGAUGCGGAAUUCCAGGUGUAGCGGUGAAAUGCGUAGAUAUCGGGAGGAACACCAGUGGCGAAGGCGGGUCUCUGGGCCGAUACUGACGCUGAGGAGCGAAAGCGUGGGGAGCGAACAGG
rnacentral:rRNA from 1 species